AGGACGAGCUUGCGUACCAUUAGCUAGUUGGUAAGGUAACGGCUUACCAAGGCUACGAUGUCUAGGGGUUCUGAGAGGAUGAUCCCCCACACUGGUACUGAGACACGGACCAGACUCCUACGGGAGGCAGCAGUAAGGAAUAUUGGGCAAUGGAGGCAACUCUGACCCAGCCAUGCCGCGUGAAGGAUUGACGGCCCUCUGGGUUGUAAACUUCUUUUGUACGGGAAUAACCCUCCGACGUGUUCGGAGCUGAAGGUACCGUAAGAAUAAGGAUCGGCUAACUCCGUGCCAGCAGCCGCGGUAAUACGGAGGAUCCAAGCGUUAUCCGGAUUUACUGGGUUUAAAGGGUGCGUAGGCGGAUUGAUAAGUCAGUGGUGAAAGCCUGCAGCUUAACUGCAGAACUGCCAUUGAUACUGCCAGUCUGGAGUAUGGUUGAGGUAGCUGGAAUGUGUCAUGUAGCGGUGAAAUGCGUAGAUAUUAGGAGGAACACCGACGGCGAAGGCAGGUUACCAACCCAUUACUGACGCUGAGGCACGAAAGCGUGGGGAUCAAACAGGAUUAGAUACCCUGGUAGUCCACGCCGUAAACUAUGAUUACUAGUUGUUGGCGAUACAUUGCCAGUGACUGAGCGAAAGCAUUAAGUAAUCCACCUGGGGAGUACGUUCGCAAGAAUGAAACUCAAAGGAAUUGACGGGGGCCCGCACAAGCGGAGGAGCAUGUGGUUUAAUUCGAUGAUACGCGAGGAACCUUACCUGGGCUCGAACGUAUAGGGAAUUAUGCCGAAAGGCUGAUUCCCUUCGGGGCUGCUUACAAGGUGCUGCAUGGUUGUCGUCAGCUCGUGCCGUGAGGUGUCGGGUUAAGUCCCAUAACGAGCGCAACCCUUAUCGUUAGUUGCCAGCGGGUUAAGCCGGGGACUCUAGCGAGACUGCCACCGUAAGGUGAGAGGAAGGUGGGGAUGACGUCAAAUCAGCACGGCCCUUAUGUCCAGGGCUACACACGUGUUACAAUGGCCGAUACAAAGGGCAGCUACUCCGCGAGGAGGAGCCAAUCUCUAAAGUCGGUCCCAGUUCGGAUUGGAGUCUGCAACCCGACUCCAUGAAGUUGGAUUCGCUAGUAAUCGCGCAUCAGCCAUGGCGCGGUGAAUACGUUCCCGGGCCUUGUACACACCGCCCAUCAAGCCAUGGGAGCUGGGGGU
rnacentral:rRNA from 1 species